GUCCCCCAAGGUGUACCCCCACUACCUUGGUUGACAAGGAAAAUCAACUGAGAUCCAAACCAACUUCUCUCUGACUAAUAACUGCUUAGAACCUGGAAAACAACAACGGAACAACAAAAGAACCAGUCAAUGCGUAAGGCUAAAUUCCAGGACGUGUAUGUGA